ensembl:miRNA mirlet7e microRNA let-7e
GCUGUCCUUGGGGUUGAGGUAGUAGAUUGAAUAGUUGUGGGGUUGUGUGACCUCUUAGUGAGAUAACUAUACAAUCUACUGUCUUUCCUAAGGAGACAGC